AACGAACGCUGGCGGCGUGCCUAAUACAUGCAAGUCGAGCGAACAGAUGAAGUGCUCGCACUUCUGACGUUAGCGGCGAACGGGUGAGUAACACGUAAGGAAUCUACCUAUAAGCGGGGGAUAACAUUCGGAAACGGGUGCUAAUACCGCAUAAUAUCUUCUUCCGCAUGGAAGAAGAUUGAAAGACGGCUCUGCUGUCACUUAUAGAUGACCUUGCGGUGCAUUAGUUAGUUGGUGGGGUAACGGCCUACCAAGACGAUGAUGCAUAGCCGACCUGGGAGGGUGAUCGGCCACAUUGGGACUGAGACACGGCCCAAACUCCUACGGGAGGCAGCAGUAGGGAAUCUUCCGCAAUGGGCGAAAGCCUGACGGAGCAAUGCCGCGUGAGUGAAGAAGGCCUUCGGGUCGUAAAACUCUGUUAUAAGAGAAGAACAAAUUGUAGAGUAACUGCUACAGUCUUGACGGUAUCUUAUCAGGAAGCCACGGCUAACUACGUGCCAGCAGCCGCCGUAA
rnacentral:rRNA from 1 species